AUUUUGAACAGAGAAGGACCUGAACUGAGAGGAGAUUUGUGAGAUUUCACUACUUUUAUCAUCACUGCAUUUUCACUGCUAAUAAGUUGAACAUAAUGGUUCAAAAGGCGAUGGUCUUUCUCUUCAUGCUGAUUGGAUGGUCACAGACUUUUCCGUACCACAAUGUCCCCACUGAGGAUAAAGUAAUGAAAGAUGCUGACAAGAUAGAGAGAGAAAGAAGAGAUGUUAUGCAGAGUGGUACUGAUUUUACUCCUCCAGUGUGCCGUGUGGUAAAUGAGAGUUUGGACUGUUCUUCGCCAAGCGGAAAUGAAACCUGGGAAGUGAAUUAUAUCAUGUCAGAUGGUGCUGGUUCAGGAAUUGAUACCCCACUUUUUUCUGUUGACAUUGACUGCUGUGAAGGCAACAUUACCUUUUUUAAUAUUUUAAAUGUGACUGUAGAUGAAAAUGGCUACAAUGCAACCACUGUGAAAUAUACUGGUCCUUGCUGUUUGAUGAAAAUGGCUAUAAUGCAACCUUUUUGCAUUAUUCUGGCAUCUGCUGCCUUGAAGAUUUGGAAGUUGCUGCAGUGGACGAGGCAGGAAACAAGGGGAAGUGUCCUGUAG
ensembl:lncRNA